rnacentral:rRNA from 1 species
GACGAACGCUGGCGGCGUGCUUAACACAUGCAAGUCGAACGGAAAGGUCCUGCCUUUGUUGGGUGCUCGAGUGGCGAACGGGUGAGUAACACGUGAGUAACCUUCCCUUGACUUUGGGAUAACUUCAGGAAACUGGGGCUAAUACCGGCUAGGAGCUCCUGCUGCUUGGUGGGGGUUGGAAAGUUUCGGAGGUUGGGGAUGGACUCGCGGCCUAUCAGCUUGUUGGUGGGGUAGUGGCUUACCAAGGCUUUGACGGGUAGCCGGCCUGAGAGGGUGACCGGGCACAUUUGGACAGGGGAACGGCCCAGAGUGCUACGGGGGGAAUGGGUGGGGGAUUGUGCAAGAAGGGCGGAAGGCGUAAGCAGCAACGCCGGAUGGGGGAUGACGGCCUUCGGGGUGGAAACCGCUUGCGCCUGUGACGAAGCGUGAGUGACGGUAAUGGGUAAGGAAGCACCGGCUAACUACGUG